rnacentral:rRNA from 1 species
GAUGAACGCUGGCGGCGUGCCUAACACAUUCAAGUCGAACGGUGAAGUACCUUCGGGUACGGAUCAGUGGCGGACGGGUGAGUAACGCGUGAGCAACCUGCCUUUCAAAGCGGGAUAACGGCUGGAAACGGACGCUAAUACCGCAUGAUGUAUGCGAGACGCAUGUUUUGCAUACCAAAGAUUUAUCGAUGAAAGAUGGGCUCGCGUCUGAUUAGCUAGAUGGCGGGUAACGGCCCACCAUGGCGACGAUCAGUAGCCGGUCUGAGAGGAUGAACGGCACAUUGGGACUGAGAUACGGCCCAGACUCCUACGGAGGCAGCAGUGGGGAAUAUUGGGGCAAUGGGGGAAACCCUGACCCAGCAAGCCG